CAACGAUAAAGUAACCCUCCGGCUCCCUCUUUGUAACUUCCUACCGCUGCGUCAUUUGGAGUUUAGUCCAGGGCAAUGCGUGUGAUGAACCUCCAGCCUUACGUGCAGAGAGCUGUCAAGUGUCCCUGGCCCUAAUUACAGAACUGCUGCUAUCGCCUCCCUUUGUCUUACCCAAGUUGGCAAGUGUCCAUUUUCCCAAACAACAAAGAUCGGAAGAGAUAAAACAAUUCUUAAUUGUGGUCCAUCACCAGAAAUACCUUGCUCUGUGCUGCUUUUGACCAAAGAAAAGAAAACAACCGACAGUUGAGACCCUUUAGAAAAGCCUUGGAAUUCUCCAGCAUGCCCUCCGUGGACUGGAACCUGGUGUGCAAAGACUAUGAAGAUGUAAAAUGGACGACAGCUGCCAUAUGGUGGUGAGAAGGAGCCAUCGUCUAUAAAACAGGCAUUGUGGAGCCUCUACACAAGCCAGGAGCCGGAAAAGAGCCUCAGACAUUAGGACGUUAGAACAGCAGGACUUGUGGGGAGAUGGAACAUUUUGGUAUUUAUAGGAAUUGGUAGCUGCCGAGCUUGUAAUCAUUUGGUUUGGGUAUUUAUGACUGCUCAUGGUCAUUCACUCAUCAAGGGAAAGGACGAGCCUGGAAGGCACUCCAGGGCUCCACACAGGCAAACGACCAGUGUUUGCUCACUUUAAAGAAAAGACAAGCAGCAUAGGGGCUUUGUUGCACUUCCUGGCCGUAAUCAUCUCUCUUUCUACUGUUGUAUAUGUCAGGGGUGAAUGUGUAGGCCCCAGUAACACUGAGGAGGAAAAACCUUCAAGAAGACAGAAGGCCACCACAUCAGAUUUUCAUUUGUCCCCACCAUUAACUGACAAACAUGCCACUGGGGUGGUGUGGGAGGUCCUUCUGUGUAUGUGCUGCCUUUGCUGGUUAAUGAAUAAAGAAGCUGCUUUGGGCCUGUGCAGAACAGAAUAGC